UAAUAGCCACACACGUAAACAAUUAAAACACAAAAUAAAAACACGUGCCAGAGCCGAAUCCAACCACGUCCCGAAAUUGUCUUCUUCGAGGAGGAAGAAAACACGAACUAGACACGAACCAAACACGAACCGAACACUUAAUUGACCAAGAAGGAGGAAAGCAGACAUCUCCACCACCACUACCACCACCGUCUCAUCACCACCUGUCAUCACCACCUCGACCAAAGAACCAAAAGUCAUCACCAAACUGAGGCAACGUAAACACCACCACGUCAUCUUCGUCACCUGAAACGAAGUCAUCGGCAGCUCAAACCAUCCUAACCUAACCCUCGUCCUUCCCUAAACCCAUCACACACUUAAGUCAAUUUUACCCUAAACUAAAACUAAUCUAACAUUGCUCCAACCCUAUUCCUUUCCCACUACUCAUAUCGAUUUUAUCUUGACUUAAAACUAACCUAAUCCAAAUACUACCUUAACUUUACCCAAAUAUCCCAAACUAAGUCAAAUUUACCUUAAACUAAAACUACCGUAACCUUGAUCACACCCUAAUCUUACCCCAAUGUAACCUUCCACACCACCGCAAACCACCGCUGCAAGUCUCGUACCCACACCCCAUACCAAACCACCACCAUGACGCCCGCCACCGCACCAUCGCGCCGGCAGGUCCUACAGCUCUAUCGCGCACUUCUCACCUACGGACGCACCCUAGAGCUGACAGACCCCGAGUAUUACUAUGCCAGAGUGCGACGGGAGUUUCAGGCCCACAAGAACUUGACGUCGGAGAAGGAGCGAGUCUUUUACUUCCAAAAGGGCUUGAGCUUCCUGACUAAACUGAGGUUGCUGUGAAGUUGAGGGUGUUGAAGGGGGGCAAGGAGGAGGUGGUGGUGGAUGUAGAGGUGGAGAAGGGAUGUAUGGAGAAGGAGUGAUGAUGUGGAAGAGGAAGGAGUGAAUGGAUAUGAGAAAAGAAGGGAGAGAGAGAAGGAUGGAGUAGAAGGUAUGAAGAAGAAAGAGAGGAAGAAAGGAUGGAUGGAAGGGAGAAAGGAAAUAAUGGAAUAGAAGCAAGGUGGGAAUGAGGAAGAAAUGGAAGAGAGAAAGGGAAAGGAAGAGAAGGAAUGGAGAAGAAAAUGAAGAAGUAAAGAAAACAACAAAGGAAAGAAUGAAGAAAGGAAAAAAUGGAAUGAAAAAGACUGAAAAAAAGGGAGAAAUAAAGACCUAGGGGAGCUUUUUCUACUUCUAAAAAGGACUCCACUUCUUAACUAAACUUUGAGUACAGUGAGAAUACCAGUAAUGAUCAUAAUAUUAAUGUAGUAACAAGGCUUUCAUCAGUUAACUCAUUGCUCUUCCUCGUACAAACAUGUGAAGUUAUACCAUUUUUUCAACUUUUUCACUUUUUUUUUAUCUGGUAGCGAGACUUAUUAGGUGAAUCAUGUGCAUUAUUAGUAUUUCUUUAGGAUUUGUAUUUCUGCUUCCAUUGUGUCCUCACCUCACUUGUACAUAGAAGAGGUGUGAAUGGGUGGAAGGCUUUGUACAUAUAUUAGUACUUUGAUAAUAAAAAUGUAAAAAGUU